AAGAUAAUUCAUAUGUUAUUUGAGGAACAAUUUCAGGCUGGUCAUAUAGAAUCAACAGUUACUCCUUAGAACACCCCCCCCCAUUUUUGUUAUUAAGAAAAAGGUAAUUGGAGAUUACUACACGAUUUCAGGGCAAUAAACCAUGCAAUUCAGCCUAUGGGAUCAUUGCAGCCCAGACUCCCUUCCCCCACAGCAAUUCCUUUAAACUAUAGCUUAAUGGUAAUAGACGUAAAAGAUUGUUUUUUCUAAAUAAGGUCGCAUCCUGAGGAUUGUGAAAAAUUUGCUUUCAG
rnacentral:sRNA from 1 species